UACGGGUAGAAAAAUACAAAAAUUUUCUGGGGGAGAAAACCCCAGACCCUCUCCAGGGCCGUAGCAACCGCGGGGGGGGGGGGCUGCAGCCCCCCAAUAAUUUGCUAAUAAUCAUUCAUUUUUCAAAAUCAUGCAGACCUUUAUUAUUUAAUCCAUGACAAACUGCAAAGAAUGAAGAUAUUACCCAUACUUUCCUGCAUCUUAUCCAAUAUAUCGUUAAUUAAAUACACCUUCGUCCAUUUAGUACUACUGAAUUCUAAAUUUCCACAUACUAAAAACGCUGUUUUCUGACAAUCAGAAAUCUGUCAAAUCUUCCCCAAAGUCCAGGAAAUGGCAUUUCGGAGACUCUAAAAUUAAAAAUUUCCUCGGGCCUUCGGCCCUCGCUUUCAGCCCCCCCCCCAAAACGAAAAGGGCUUCCUACGGCCCUGCUCUUCCCCCCUACUAUUAAAUGCGAUACCACACCAAACUUUUUGUUACCAACAAACCAUCUAUCAUUGCUCCACACUCAG